GCUGAGCUGUGGGCCAGGAAACGGCGGAAUGCCGGCCACCGUUACCCCGUAGGAGUUGUUCCGUGGCUCGGGACGCCCGCCGCCGUCCUGAUCCGUGGAACAGGAAAAACAGUUUCCGUCUGCCGUCGGGGCAGCGCGUGGAUUGGCUGCUAUUCGGCUGCAUUCGAUCCAUUCCCCACCCCCGCCACAGGCGAGGUCGCCGUGCCAAGGAUCCCUGCCGGCAUGCAAAGGAGCAUCCUGAGAUCUGGCUCAUGGAGUUCCUGAUGCAACCAGAGAAAAGGCCAAGCUGGGAGUGGAGAACACACGUUUGUGUCGUUCGGAGGGCCCUGCUCUGAUUCGGUUGCCAAGAUCAGAGGACAGUGGCUGGUACAUCACAGAACUCCGACGGAUCUGACGGCGCAAGGGGCGCCGGGCUCAGUUCAUGGGUCGGAUCAGUGGAUCACGCGCCUGCAACAGCCCUCAGCAGGGACGCGCAGAUCCGUGAGGAAGAAAUAGGCCGGUCGGCGAGACGGGAGGGCUCGCUCCAGGUCUCCAAACUGUCCACCAGCAAGAUGAAUCUGCAAGCACCUGACUGGACUUGUGGACAAAGAGGUGCGUUGCUGAAAACAAAUAACCCCGAAUUUGUUGCAAAGAAAUGUCGUAAUGAUUCAUCUGGGUUUGCUUAGGGGGAUAGUCUCUGUAAAUUUAGACAUGGAUGAUACUGAACCUAUAUAAUUUGUCAGACGUCCAUGAGUACAAGAAAUUCCCUGAUGCAUAAACUGCAGUGCAACGCUAUAUCGUGUUUUACAAGUGGGCCUAGUAUUCUUCAUCAAAAGUUAUUGUAGAAACUACAAUGGUACUCCUCUUGUGCUGGAAUCAUCGCUAUGUUACUUAUGUCAUUUUUGAGAUAUUAUUGUUUACAUCGA